rnacentral:rRNA from 1 species
ACGCACGCUGGCGGCGCGCCUAACACAUGCAAGUCGCACGGAGCUGAGAGAAGCUUGCUUUUCUUAGCUUAGUGGCGAACGGGUGAGUAACGCGUGAGUAACCUGCCCUGGAGUGGGGGACAACAGUUGGAAACGACUGCUAAUACCGCAUAAGCCCACGAUCCGGCAUCGGAUUGAGGGAAAAGGAUUUAUUCGCUUCAGGAUGGACUCGCGUCCAAUUAGCUAGUUGGUGAGGUAACGGCCCACCAAGGCGACGAUUGGUAGCCGGACUGAGAGGUUGAACGGCCACAUUGGGACUGAGACACGGCCCAGACUCCUACGGGAGGCAGCAGUGGGGGAUAUUGCACAAUGGGGGAAACCCUGAUGCAGCGACGCCGCGUGGAGGAAGAAGGUUUUCGGAUUGUAAACUCCUGUCGUUAGGGACGAUAAUGACGGUACCUAACAAGAAAGCACCGGCUAACUACGUG